rnacentral:lncRNA from 1 species
AAAAGAAAAGUCGAUUUAAGGUUGUCAUUUUGUGCUUGAUCAUUUGAGCUCCAAUGAUCAACUGAAAUCAAGAUUUGAGUUAACAACCUCCCGACAGCAACAAACGCACUGGUAGAGCUUGAUGCGUGUUAAUAAAUAUGCUUAGCUUCAGUGAAGAGUAAGUUAUUAUGAGUGUCGCUUAAACCAGAACAUGCCUGUAUUGAUCAACCUCCGAAAAUUUGGAAGUGCGAGUUGGAAAGUGUAACGGGGUACGCGGAUGAGGAGAGUACCGGAGAGUACAGGCAAAAAUAAGAAGGCAUAAAUUGUCAAGUAAAGAUACUUACAGAUGGUGUACUACAGUCGAUUCUCUUUGAGCGAGUAGUUAUGUCGCGCAGACCAUUACUGUUCGAAAAAUACCAGAAGUUUCGCCCAGCUAGAUCACUAAGCAA